CCUACGGGAGACAGCAGUGAGGAAUAUUGGUCAAUGGGCGAGAGCCUGAACCAGCCAAGUCGCGUGAAGGAUGACGGCCCUACGGGUUGUAAACUUCUUUUGUCAGGGAGCAAUUGAGUCCACGUGUGGGCUUAGCGAGAGUACCUGAAGAAAAAGCAUCGGCUAACUCCGUGCCAGCAGCCGCGGUAAUACGGAGGAUGCGAGCGUUAUCCGGAUUUAUUGGGUUAAAAGGGUGCGUAGGCGGAAUAUCAAGUCAGCGGUAAAACUUCGGGGCUCAACCCCGUCGUGCCGUUGAAACUGAUGUUCUUGAGUGGGCGAGAAGUAGGCGGAAUGCGUGGUGUAGCGGUGAAAUGCAUAGAUAUCACGCAGAACUCCGAUUGCGAAGGCAGCAUACCGGCGCCCAACUGACGCUGAAGCACGAAAGCGUGGGUAUCGAACAGGAUUAGAUACCCGGGUAGUC
rnacentral:rRNA from 1 species